AGCGAAUCCCAUAAAGCCAGUCUCAGUUCGGAUCGGAGUCUGCAACUCGACUCCGUGAAGCUGGAGUUGCUAGUAAUCCCGGAUCAGCAACGCCGGGGUCGAAUACGUUCCCGGGCCUU
rnacentral:rRNA from 1 species